rnacentral:rRNA from 2 species
UCAAGCUACUAAGGGCAUACGGUGGAUGCCUUGGCACUAAGAGCCGAUGAAGGACGCGGUAAGCUGCGAAAAGCCACGGGGAACUGCAAGCAAGUCUUGAUCCGUGGAUGUCCGAAUGGGGAAACCCACCAUCCGUCAUGGGAUGGUAUCCUACGGGAGGGGAACCCGGUGAACUGAAACAUCUAAGUAGCCGGAGGAAGAGAAAUCAAACGAGAUGCCCACAGUAGCGGCGAGCGAAGAGGGCAGAGCCUAAACCAGUCAUCUUCGGAUGGUUGGGGUUACGGACCUGCAUCAACCGAGUCCUACCUAGUCGAAUUACCUGGAAAGGUAAGCCAGAGAGCGUAAGAGCCGCGUAGGUGAAAGGAAGGACGAGGGGGCAGGGAUCCAGAGUACCACGAAGCACGAGGAAUUUUGUGGGAAGUCGGGGGGACCACCCUCCAAGGCUAAACACUUCUUAGUGACCGAUAGCGCAUAGUACCGUGAGGGAAAGGUGAAAAGAACCGCGGGAGCGGAGUGAAAGAGAACCUGAAACCGUAUGUCUACAAGCAGUCGGAGCGCAAGCGACGGCGUGCCUAUUGAAGAAUGAGCCAACGAGUUACGGGCACCAGCGAGGUUAAGCAGGAAAUGCGGAGCCGGAGCGAAAGCGAGUCUAAACAGGGCGAAUAGUUGGUGUUCGUAGACCCGAAACUGUAGUGAUCUACCCAUGAUCAGGUUGAAGCGCAGGUAAAAAUGCGUGGAGGACCGAACCGGUGAGCGUUGAAAAGCUUUCGGAUGAAUCGUGGGUAGCGGUGAAAUUCCAAUCGAACGCAGAGAUAGCUGGUUCUCCUCGAAAUAGCUUUAGGGCUAGCCUCAAGCAGUAAGCAUAGGCGGUAGAGCACUGAUCGGGAUAGGGUCCGUAAAGGAUACCGAACCCUGUCAAACUACGAAUGGUUAUGCUGCAGAGCUUGGGAGUCAGACUACGAGAGAUAAGUCCCGUUGUCAAAAGGGAAACAGCCCAGACCGUCAGCUAAGGUCCCCAAUGCCAUACUAAGUGGAAAAGGAUGUGGGGUCUCAUAAACAACCAGGAUGUUGGCUCAGAAGCAGCCACCAUUUAAAGAGUGCGUAAUAGCUCACUGGUCGAGAGGCCCUGCGCCGAAGAUUCCCGGGGCUAAAGUAUGGAACCGAAGCUACGGAUGCGGUACUUGUACCGCGUGGUAGAGGAGCGUUCCCAUUGGGUUGAAGUCGUCCUGGAAGGGACGGUGGACUGGUGGGAAGUGAGAAUGUUGGCAUGAGUAGCGAAAAGAUAGGUGAGAAUCCUAUCCACCGAAAGCAUAAGGAUUCCUGAGCAACGAUCGUCGUCUCAGGGUAAGUCGGGACCUAAUCCGAGGCAUGGAGCGUAGGAGAUGGACAACUGGUUGAUAUUCCAGUACCGGCAGCAAUCGUUUGAACGAUGGAGUGACGCAGGAAGGCAGGUCCGCGCGAGAAUGGUAGAUCGCGUACAAGCGUGCAGGCUGGUGCACAGGCAAAUCCGUGUACUGAGGCUGAGGCGUGAUGUGGAGGGAACUUGUUCCCGAAGGGAUUGAGCCUACGCUGCCGAGAAAAGCUUCUAGUGAGAAAGCUGCCGCCCGUACCGUAAACCGACACAGGUAUGCGGGGAGAGAAUCCUAAGGUGCGCGGGAGAACCCUCGUUAAGGAACUCGGCAAAAUGUACCCGUAACUUCGGGAUAAGGGUAGCCACAGUGGUGAAGGGACUUGCUCCUGGAGCCUAGUGUGGUCGCAGAGAAGAGGCCCAAGCGACUGUUAACCAGAAACACAGGUGCCUGCGAAAGAGAAAUCUGAUGUAUAGGUGCUGACACCUGCCCAGUGCUGGAAGGUUAAAGAAGGAUGUCCGGGUUCGACCCAAAGCAUUUGACUGAAGCCCCAGUGAACGGCGGCCGUAACUAUAACGGUCCUAAGGUAGCGAAAUUCCUUGUCAGGUAAG